UUGUGAUCUCAUCUCGAACGUGGUUCGGCAUAGUUAACGGAUUCGGUAGGAGUUAUGAUAAUUUCGUAUCUCGUCCUCGGCUGCUGACGAUUGCGCGGCGACGGGGGAUUUGCCCAUAGAGAGGCGCAACGGGUGUCAAUGGGAUUUUCCAGUUGGGGAUUUUUCUCGCUGGUUUUUCAUUUGGUUCAAGAAUUAGGAGUUUGUGAUUGUAACGUAUGGUUUGAUAUUAACGGUGAAAUUGGUGGCCGACCGUAAUGUUGGUUUGUUGUGGCGUUCGGGUUCCGGAUAUUGGUGUUUUUUUCUUGGAAUUAUGGUGAGAUUAACAUUAGAACUCUACCGAGUCGAGAUGUGAGAAGGAAUACCGGAAUGAUGUGCAACUGAGCGUGUCUGCUCGUGAUGCUUCCGUUGGAUUCAAAAAGGUGGUGAAACUAUGUGUGAGUUGGAAUGGUCGGUUAUUUCAUUAACGUCUCACCUUCUGGACAGUGAAUUAUACGCAUCAUUAAAUGUCGACCAGAGGAAUAAUGCAGACAGUCUUUCGAUGAUCUGUCCAAAGUGUUUAUCGUUCAACAAUAAAUUAUGCGCAGUGAGCAAUGUGAGAGUAACGUAAUUGGAAAUAUAAGUGAGCCGUAUUUUUGAUGAAGGCGUCUUUAUUGUUAUCGGAUUAUACGUACUUACCGUGCUGAAUGGAGUGAUAAAUCAAGCUUAUAUUUGGCGCUUCGUUUAUUGUGCUAGAUCUGUCUAGAUAAGAACGGCUCCGACUCAUAGUUGGGGAAAUAUUCUAGCGAAUAAGUGUUAUAAAUCAAUAUUAGUCGACCUCGAGCGGUAAUAAAUAAGAUACAAGUGUCACCACAUUUGUCACCCAGGUGUUCUGCAUGUCAGAGUAGACUCGUUCGCUUCAAGGAACAAUAGCGAACGAUCCUUGAUGACCAGUGUCAGUCAAUGUAAAUUAAUUCUAUAAGAUAUAUGAAGACGGAAGUCGUCUUCCUGCUUUUACGAGACAGCGACAACGGGGAUUGAGUGCGGAAACGAAUCUCAUCAAGUGUUGAACUAUAUAUUCAGAUUGUAGAAAUGGAUAUCGUGCUGUCCCGGCUGAACCUCAGCCUGGACAAUGUGACUCUGAGCACUAGCACUAUUCGCCAGGGGCUUAUCGAGCAGUACAGCAGCAACCGCAAGGUGGACGAUCCGGCCUAUCACAUACUGAUAGUGAUGUACAGCAUUUUAAUUAUUUUCGGGGCCACCGGGAACAGCCUUGUGGUGAUGGCAGUUGCCCGGAAGCCACAGAUGCGAACGGCACGGAACAUGUUCAUCGUCAAUCUGGCAGUGUCCGAUUUGCUGCUAUGUCUGGUAACGAUGCCGCUGACGCUCGUGGAAAUCCUUACCAAAUACUGGCCGAUGGGCCGGUUACCCUUCCUGUGUAAAUCGAUUGGAACGCUGCAAGCGACGAGCAUUUUCGUGUCAACCAUCUCCAUCACGGCCAUUGCGUUGGACCGAUAUCAAGUGAUUGUCUAUCCAACUCGGGACAGCCUCCAGCUGAUGGGUGCUGUUAUGAUACUGACCGGAAUUUGGAUCAUAUCAUUGGUGCUUGCAUCGCCGAUGUUUAUCACGAGACGGUUGAUUCACUACGAUGUAAAUAUGCCCAGCCUUGGGAUUGACUACAUCUCCUAUUGCGUGGAGGACUGGCCAAUAGCACACGGCCGAAUUUAUUACUCGGUGUUUACGCUUUGCGUCCAGUACUUGCUGCCCAUCGUGAUAGUAUCGAUAGCAUAUCUACGAAUUUACCUCAAGUUGAAACACCGACUCGUGGUGACAACCACGGCGUUCAGUUCCGGCGUGAACUCGAGUAGCAAACCGCCCCGGGAACGGGAACGAGGCCGGCGGAUGCAGCGGACCAACUAUUUGCUGAUUAGUAUAGCCCUAAUCUUCGGAAUCUCGUGGCUUCCGUUGAAUCUGUUCAAUUUGUUCGCCGAUCUGUUCCUGGAUGGAAUAACGCAGGAGAUAAUGGUUGCGUACGCCAUCUGCCACAUGAUGGGCAUGAGUUCGGCCUGCUCUAAUCCACUUCUGUACGGCUGGCUGAACGAUAACUUUCGCAAAGAAUUUAACGAACUUCUCUGCCGGAAGGACUCGAGCACGGUCACUUCAAAUGGAACCGGAAAAACCAACUCGCGAAAGGUUCGAACUACGGCAGCUGCUCCGGAAGUAACGCAGGUGGGCGACAACUGUCGAACGACAGUAGUAGACUCGGGCGACCAAACCGAACUUACCGAGUUAAUGCCGUGAUAUCGUACGUUUCCCCCGUUUUCUAUCGAGGUGUGCAAUAUUGCUAUAACUGAAGAUAAAGGAAUAGUGAAAUUUAAAAAAAGACACACGCACACACGUAACCAUCUAACGCAAGCAUUGUUCUGUACACAAACUUGGUAAUGGCUCAUCAUACACAGCGCGUUUGAUGAGACCCCCAACUGGGAGAAACGGUUGGAGCAGCAGAUGGAUCAACAGGACCGCAUGAAGCUCUGCGGCGAUGAAGACAGCGUCUGAGGAAGCGAUCCACGAGACGGCAGCUUCCACUUUCCACAGCAGAAGAAGAUGGUAACCAGCCGGGGGGAAAUUGAAUUUGCUGCUGCUACGUGAUGCAGUAGUUGCCAGGUGCUAUUUCUAGCCGUUUUUUAUACUGUGAAUAUUUUCAUGCAGUGUGCAAAAUUCGAGCUGCAAGCAGUUGGUCGUCUCUUCCACAUUGUGCGCCUAAAGGUAUACACUGCUCGACACAGAGGCGAUGUUGCGCUUAUCAAAUUAAGUAUACAAUUUGUAUAUUUGGAGAACAAGAGUGUGUGUGUGUUGUGUGAUAGUCAAAGAGGAGAAAAUUGGAUGAACGUAAUGAAUUUGUUAUUAUUAUUGGGUUAGGCUAAUUCUACUGCUGUAAGAAAAAUGAGAAAACUGUAAAAAUAUUGCACCCCUAUUGGUUGAAGAGGUAGAAUUUCAGAUCAAUUGAAAUAUGUAUUGUAAAUAUUAUCAUAAGCCAUAUGAUUUCACUUCAUUUUUGUGGACUCAAGAGUAAACUAUGUUUUAUCACUCUGUAUCUGAGAAACGCUUAAUAGUAGUUCAGGAAUAGUGGUGUCCGAUAAACGUUCGAUUAAUCGACUAAAGGUGGAAGACACUAUUUGACUGGAGAUAAAACAUUCGACACUUUUUGACAGAUAAAAUUUGGUUGAAAUUGGAUACAAAUAUUACUUUGUUUGACAUUUUUCAAUUACACCCAGGUUUUUUUACGCGGAUUUUCCAAUUAAAGCGUUUUUUACGUGGAUUUUCGAAUUAACGGGGUUUUUUUACGCGGAUUUUCCAAUUGAAGCGUUUUUUUUACGUGGUACCCGCGUAAAAAACGACCAGUGCAAUAUCAGCUCACAUUUUUCUCUCAUGUUCCCUCAGAGCAAAUUACGGUAAUUAGUGCUUGUAACGGAGUUUAGCGCUUAGUGCCGCACCUUAUCACAAUUCUUAUGUGGAUUUUAGGUGUUGGGUAACGGGGAGCUCGCCGGGCGGUACAACGGGACGGAAUUUUUACGGGCAGCUAUUCGUGAAAGGUUUUCCCUGUCUACUUAGCUCUGGACGGCCCAACAGUGGUACUGCACGUGCAUCGGCAGAAGAGUGUACACAUUACUAGGAAAUCUUCUAGCAACAGCAGAUGACCUCAUUCGUGAGGAAAACCGAACUAUAGCUAACCAGUAACCUAACCAGUAACCAACGAAAUUGCAGGAAAAAACUACGGGUUUUCGGAAGCGAGCAACACUCAACUUUUUACUUCUGUUCUACGUAAAGAUAGUCCCAUUUGAUAUCUAUCAUUAGGUGACAUGGUUUUUUUUACGCGGUUUUUUACGCGGAUUUUCCAAUUAACGUGGUUCUUUUACGCCGUUUUUUUAGAGGUACGUAUCCUCCGCUCAAAAAAAAAAAAAAAAUUAUAGGAGGUUGUGUCCACUUGAUUGACGUAGAACUACGCAGUUAUUUUAUAUAAGUCGCUUGUUUAUACCUUCGGAUAUUAUUCUAUAAUGCUGUGAAAUUUUAGAAACAACUGAUUGAUGAUUCAUUCUUGCCCUCGCAAAACAAUCGUAUGUCGCAAUUUAUUUCAUGUCAAUGCAUUGAAAAUUUACCUCGAAGGCUAUUCCGGUGGCCUUUUUCGAAAUUGACAUAGACUCGGCUACAGUCGAUUGUAUAUAUGUUGCACCAGCACCAUUAUUCCAUAUCUCAUAACUACAUCAAUAUAUCUUUGGCACCGCAUGUAAACAACAACAAUGACAACACUUGCAAGUAUCAAAUAUCAUGCUACAUGUUAUUUAGUAUUGCCUCAAAGGAAUCGCACCUCCAGAUAUCGUUCGUACAAACUAAGUGUAAACAAAGCGCCAAACAAGCGUUCACCAUAGCAUGCCACAGAGCCAUACAUUGGUGGCUUGAAACUACUAGCAAUAUAAACAUUUCUCAUCACUUUGCGCUAUUCUCAAAAGAAACGCUUCUGUUAAUAUUACUGGCCUCGAAAAGAGUUGCAUUACAUUAUUAUGCUCGAGAUAAGCGCAGCUGUCUCCCUUAGUGGAGGAAGUUUUGCUACUGGCAAGCGAAACCUAAUCACAUACAAAAUUCCAGAACAUUUACUUUUCUUGAUGGUUGUUAUUAACUUUUUUUUGUUAAUAACAACCUCGAAAACAGUAGCAAUGCUUCAUUAUGAUCAAUAUUAGCGCAAAUGCAAUCCUAGUUGAAGGCAGUUUUGCGACUGGCAUGCGAACCCAAAUAACUUAUAACAUUCCAGUAAGAUAUUCAAGAUGUAUUCUCAAAUAAUUUUUUGGUGCACAAUUUUAACGUCUGCUUCGCUGCUAACGUCAAUGCAUUAACAUUCUCAAAGGUACAAACGAUGCCCUUAUGAAGACGGAAAAUAAACAAUGUUAACUGCUUGGAAAAAGACCGAAUUAUGCCACACAGCUUGUACUCUGCUGUAACACCCAUCGAUGCGAAUUCGCUGAUGAGUUUGUCAAGAGCGACCGCCUUCACCACCAGGAUUGAGCUUGAUUUUGGUUGCUGCAUGGGCGUUUACAUUUUCGACCGACGCGCCGAAAUCGCCUACUUCGUUGUUGUUCGGUGCGGUGUCACAUUCGCGAAGGCUUGGUUCAGUGCGAGCGCUUUUCACUGCACCAACACCGCGUGCAUCAUUAGAUGACGCUUACCUCGAAAUUUUAUUGUCCCUGGCAAUGCGUUCGUUUUUUGCAGGGCUCGAGCCUGCCUUCCUCUUCUUCUUGCUCAUCGCACACUACGCGAAGCGUUCAAUUUAUGACGCGGAAAGAAGAACACACGAUACGAAUAACGCGAAAAACGAACAGAAAAAUUAAACGACGAUUUCCAAGUUGGAUUACCGCUGGUGGGGUCCAAUCUUAGAUCGAAGCGCAGCGAAAGCAAAGUGAAUUGAAUUGCUCAACAGUCCGAUGCCGAAUGAAAGUUUGCCUUCUUCUUCUUUCUUUGUUUUUAAGAGGCUUUAAACUUUGCAGUUCAUUCGCCUCUAAGGUUUGCCUCAGCGAGAUCCACUGUUUAUACUCUAGGCAAGUAUUCCCCUUCAUUCUUCUUCUUUUCCUUUGUUCACGGAGACUUUAAAUCCUACGAUUUCCCCUCCGUUGGUCGUCGAUAAGUUGCUCGUUAUUGAUAGCUCUGUUCGGGAAAGCACUCAAAUGGACAGAACAAAUGUAUGGGAAAAUAGAAACAUUUAAAGUUUUCAUGAAUUUUAACCAUUUACUAACAAGGGGAUUCUAAUGUAUGGCAUAUUAAACAAAUCUUACGGAAUUUCCGAUUCGUUUAGUAUGUAAAUCGCCAAAAUGCGUUCGCGGCAAAAAUAGUUAUUAACGUUAACAUUAUUUCAUAAAAACGUGACCUGUUUUCUGAUUUGACACCCUUACUGAAAGACGUAGUUCUACGUCAAAAACCAUGGUGUACCAACAGUGGCAAACAUUGUCAAACAUCGAACAUGGAGAACAUUAUGAUAGGGGUUUGUAUCCAAGACACGACCGCUCAUGACGUAGGACUACGCAUUGGUUUCAUUUAUUUCGCUUAUUUAUCAUUUCGGAUAUUAUUCAUAAAUACAAAGAAAUUGCAUAAAUCACUCUUUAAUAGAAAAUUUCAGUAAGCCCGAAAAGGGUAAAUCAUUAACCCUUGGCUUAGUACGAGCAGUUCGGGAAGCAGCGAUUCUUUCUUGCAAUUGUGAGAACAAUACACAAACUUGUCAUAUGUCGCAAUUUGUUUCUUUAUUUCAACACACGCAUUGCACUGAGUAUUCAUCGCGCGGUGUUCUUCGCAUUUGAUACACACACUCGGCCAUGUUGCGAUUUAAUAUUUGUUCUACUAGCACUCACCUUUAUUUCACAUUCCUUAACCACUCCACUAUAUCUUUAGCAACACAUAAAAACAAAAAAGGCACAGGAGGGUUGUAUCCGAGACACGAUCGCAUAGUUGCAGUAGGAUUACGUUAGGCUAUCUAUUACAUGCUGAUUUUGUGAAAAUUUUCAUUUAAUUUUUAACAAUUCAAAACUGCCUUCGGGCCUGCUGAUUCGAUUGUAUAUUAAUUUACCUCCCUAAAUGAAUAUUGCUACCAGAUGUCGACACUGUAGCCAAGCGUAGUUACUGAUGUAUGAACCGAUGCCGAAACGAAGAGCGACGAACGCACCCAUACCACGAACUUCGACAUUUGAUUUGCUACUAUGGUGCUACUCACACGUGUAGUUCACGCAAAGUCACCGGCAAAAUAUUAUUUUCGAGUAUCCCUUCAUGCAUUUGUCUGAAACGCCGGUGCCGUUCCGCUAUAUAUAUAUAUAUGUAUACUCAUGCCAUUUGCCUCCCUUGCCGCAUCCAGUCAUGUUGGUUGAUGGGAAGUAUGUUUUUGACGCGAUCGGAGCUGAAAUUUGUCGAUCAUUGCAACAUUAUCAUCGAAAAAUUUCAUGAAGCAACCAACAUUGAAGUUCCAAAUUUAAAUUAUUUGCUAGAAUUAAUCGUAUCACUCACCUUACUUGCAAUAUAAAAAUGCCUCCGACUUGCAUGUAUUUGCAAUGUCGAUUCACCCCAGGCAGCUUGGUUUUGAUGUCUCUGUUAGGUAAUCGCCGCUUGUGUCGUCAAUUUCGACCAAUCAGAAGUGGAUAUUUCCGUUAGGAUAGGGGUUGGGAUUUUUCAAUUGUUCGAUAGUUUUUUUAAUGACAUAUAUUAUUUUCUUCAAUGUAAAAAAGACGGGUGGGUAAUGUCGGGGACAUAACCGGAGUGACGUAGGACAAUACAAAGGGGACAGCUUUUGUUAAAUAUAUAUUUUAAAUAUAUUGUUUUAUUUUGCACUGGUACUAACGCGCUCGGCCUAGCUACCCUUGCGGGGAACUCCAGAUCAACACGGUUCGAGCGGGAUUUUGCCUUUCCCUUCACUUUUCCUCCUUUACCAUGUCCAGACAUGGCUGCUUGGGUUGGUUUGUCGAUGUGUUGUGAUGCGAACCGAUGUGGUGAUCGUUACGGCAGCGGAGCGGGGAUUUUUAAGCUGACUGGCUGGCUCGAUAAUUACGCAUGUGUGAGACUGCGACCAAUGUUUCGUUCAUUUUUUUCUUUUUCCUUUCCAAUCGUGCUUCAUUCUAUUUCGCUGCUAUUCUGGUUGCCCGUUUUGGUCGGUACGAUUUGAGGAGCACAAAAUGGACCAAUCAAAAAUGGGCACAUAGUGCAUUUUGACAAUGCUUGAUAUUUCACAAUUAUUCAAUUAUUUAUCUCAAGAAAAAUGAAAUGUUAUUCGUUAUGAUAGAUGCGUAGAUAUAUUUCCUAUCAAUUGAUGCAAAAACCUUUGCGAUCUAUUGAGAAAUGCUCGAGUUAUAAGCGUUCCAAAUCUUGCAUUUUUUCCUACUUGUUCAGUGCCUAGAUUUCCAUUUCACCCCCUAUAUCUUCCGGUUAGACGUAGUCCUACGUCAAAAUUGUUAUCAAGUGCCGAAAUCGAUUGACGCAAAAAUUUCAUCAGUCCAUCAUAAAAUGACUGAGCAAUAAGCGUUUGAAAUUGGACAAUUUUUACGAUGUGCCCGAUUUUCGAUUUUCAAUUUGUACCCCAUGUUCACGAAAGACGUAAUCCUACGUCAAAACAUUCACGUCACGUUCACGCCACGUCACGUCACGUUACGUCAAUUAUUCUCCCAUGCAAUUCUUAUGAAAACAUUCACAUACACCGGCAACGGAAACUUCGACUUACCGUUGAUGGUGUAUGUGAAUGCUUCCAUAAGAAUUGCAUGGAAGAAUAAUUGACGCAUCGUGACGGGACGGAACGUAAACGUGACGUGGAUGUUGUGUGUGAAUCGCACUUUACUCUUCGACCAAGUGUUUGCAACAGGGAUGCCGAACCACUCGAGAUGUCAUGUUUCAAAAUUAGAUAAUGUUUCUGGAGACUAUUUUUUCACGUCCCUAACACAUGUUUUCGUAUCAUACAUUCUAUAAAUAAUUACAUUUGUUGCGUAUUUUACAACAAAUUGUAUUUUUUUUGUUAUGCUUUAUCAUGAAAACUAGUGUGAAAGCAUUAUGUAGAAGUGUAUUUUCAAAUCUUAUUGGCAAUCCUUUAGAAUUUACCAAUCAGUAGCUGGUCCGAAAAUUGGACCCAGAUCGACCCCCUAUUGUCUGGUCUUGUCUUAGAUACUGACAUGUUCGGUCACUCUGAGUGUACAACGUGUACAGCAUGAACAUUGCUAAAAAAUGAUGGACUCUAUAGCGACGACUCAAAUUCGCUCCAUAGGGUCAUAACCAGUGUUGCCACACGUACAGAUUUAUCUGGAAUGGUACAGAUUUUUUAGUUAUUUUUGGUACAGAUUCUGUACGAUACAGAGUACAGAUUUUCGUCAUAAAGUACAGAUUGGUACGGAUUUUUUUCGAUUUGUGAAAUUUCUUACAUUUGAACAAUGCAACAUUGGGUUCUUUAUUCCGCAGUAUCAUAAGGACGAAAUUCCUUACAAGAAUCGCCUGAAAGAAUUCGUGUCGGACGGUGCGACGUAUGUUUUGCCCCAGAUCAACAGAUUGAAUCGUUCGUUGUUCGCAUUUUUUUUUUCUGACGCUCAAGUCUACGGCAAUGUUGAAUCCCAAAAACUUUUCCAAUUUGACUAGCAUUAACGUUGUGUUAGAAGAGUUUCCAGAAUUGUACAAUGGGAAUGUUUAAGAUGUGGAGAAUAAUUUCUAUAGCCUAAAGAUAAAAUUACUCCGUAAGGAUAUCACAAUUUCAGAAGACGAAUAUGUGCAGGAUUGGUGGACAAAAAUUGGACGCCUAAAAAUAAUUGACGAUUCGCUCACCUUUUCGACGCUUCGAUGCCUUGUUUGUAACGCUCUCACUAUGCCUCACUCCUAGCCAACUGUCGAGCGAAUUUAUUCUGAAUAUAAAAUUUAAAAAAAUGAUAGUAUGCAAUCUAGAUUCAAAAAAAACUAUGUAAAAGAAUUACCAAACACACAAAUGACCUACAAAAGUAAUUGUAGUAUUUGUAGUAGAUAAAUAAGUAUUUUUUUAAUGUUAAUAAAUAAUUUUUUUUCUACGAUGAUACAAAUUUUUGGUACAGAUUUUUGGAAAAAAAGUACAGAUGAGAAAGAUUUUCGACCCCUCUGGUACAGAUUCAAAUGUGGCAACACUGAUCAUAACCGGUGACGAAUAAUAGGUUUAAUGUUAUGACGUGGAAAAGUCUUCGUUAACCCUUGCACUACGGCAGUGUGUUCCGUCGGAGUGCUACCGCUGAGCGGAGCACUGCUCCGGAAAGUAUGCAUAUCGCGCUGGUGUGAUAGAUGUGCAGUAUCAUCCUGAUGUCGCCUAUAGACGACGCUCGUAGCGCAAGGGUUAACGAGGGAAAAAAAGAAAAAAAUGUUUUUACAUUAUAUUGACUGAUUUUAUGUUUUAUUGGGAGAUUAGAAUUGGGAGAAAAUCGUUGUUUUAAGUAAUAUUUUCUUUCUCAUUCAAGUAAUAUAACAUUGGAGUUUAUGUGACACUCCAAUAAACGGUAUUCGGGCGAGCUUGUUCCUCGAAAAUUCUCCACAAUCUCGUUAUAUUAUGUUCUGUUUUUUUAUACAAACAAAAGUUUCAAUGUCUGCAAGAAAUGGACCACUCCAAAAUGGUGCAAUAUUUUUAAUGUACCCGUUUGAAACGCAUGUAGAGUCAGCCUAGGUCUCCCUGUGGCGAUCAUCCCCUAGGCGCGGUCAAAUCUCACUGUUUCCCCACACCGUUUAUCUGUUUGAGCCCAGCAAUGAAUUUAUUCCAAUUAAUUGGGCGCUCAAUUAGUUCCCAAUAAAUUCAUUGUUUACAAGCCGUUAUGAGCAAGUAUUGUUUUUUACGAACAGUGAGUUUUUCCCGCUUGAAUUUGUCUAGGAAGAAGAGUCAAAACCGAAAGGUUUCACCUAGGAUAUAAGUUAAGACGAGGAAAACAAAAAAAAACAAUAUCAGCGAUCAAAAAUCGCAAUGCAGUUUUGUAGCAUAGCUAGAGUUAAAUGGCCUCAUCUGCUGUAACUUUGUAUGAAAAUUGUAAACUAGAUGCUAUUAUUUGUACAGACGAUAAGUGUUUCUCUAACGGUUGAAAUAUAUCAGUGAUUGAAUUCGGAUAGGAAAUAAAAUUUAUAAAUGUUGAU